GGAGAGGUGACCGAGUGGCUUAAGGUGCACGCCUGGAAAGUGUGUGUCCCGCCACAGCGGGACCGAGGGUUCGAAUCCCUCUCUCUCCG
rnacentral:tRNA from 1 species